rnacentral:lncRNA from 1 species
UCUUAGACUCUUCACUCAAGUUUUUGAAAAUCCUGAGGUUCUGCAGGGUACUGUCCAUUUUCUUUCAAUACAUUCUCUCUAGGCAUUGUUCUCAUAGAAGAUGAUAGCUCCAUGUCCCUGAAGACCUUCCAGUGGGACAAGAUGUAGAGGUGGAAGACAGUGAUAUUGUGAUACUGACUCUGUGUAAGCCUAAUGUGCAUGUUUGUGUUUUAGGUUUUUUUUUUUUUUUUUAGUUUCAAGUAAAAAAAUAAUUUCUAAGAUAGAAGAAAGUUGUAGAAUAAGGAUACAAAGAAAAAAAUUUUUUGUAUAUUCAUACAACAUGUGUUUUAAACUAAGUGUUAUUAGAAGAGUCAAAAAUAAUAAAAGGUUUAUAAAGUAAAAAAGUUACAGUAAGCUGAAGUUAAUGUUAAUUUACUUUGGAAGAAAAAUUCUUUUUACAAACUUAGUGUAGCCUAAAUACACAGUGUUUAUAAAGUUUACAGUAGCAUACAGUAAUGUUCUAGGCCUCCACAUUCACACACCAUUCACUCACUGACUCGCCCAGAGCAACUUCCAGCUCUACAAGCUCCAUUCAUGGUAAAUACCCUAUAAAGGUGCCCUAUAGAGAUUUUUAAAAUCAUUUAUACUGUAUUUUUGCUGUACCUUUUCUAGAUUUAUAUAUGUUUAGGUAGACAAAUACUUGCCAUUGUGUUCCAACUGCCUACAGUCUUCAGUAUAGUAACAUUGAGUACAGGCUUACAGCCUAGGAGCAAUAGGCUAUACCAUAUAGCCCAGGUGUGUAAUAGGUUAUCCCAUCCAGGUUUGUGUAAGUACAAUCUAUGAUGUUCACACGAUGAUACUGACUAAGAAUGCAUUUCUCAGAACAUAUCCCCAUUAUUAAAGUGAUGCAUGAUUGCAAAUGGAUUCAAGUGUAUCAUUUUAUUAUUAGUUUUCUGUCUGUUCUGUGUUUUUGUUCCCCUCUUUCCCUUUCCCACUUUCUUUCAGAUUAAAUGUGUAUUUUAAUUUCUAU